AAUAGAAUGGCUGAACGAAAGCAAUAAAUUGUAAAUUUAUAUAUGGUUGGAAUUAACCUUCUAUUA
rnacentral:tRNA from 1 species